AGCCAUGCAGGCAAGAUGGGAAUGGAGAGCUCCUUGUACUCUUCCAGCAGUUGUUAGUAGAAGUUUUGUUAGAAGUUUUGUGCAGAUUGGAUCCCUCUGAUGGUGAUGAUGACACAACAUGCAGAGGGUGGCACUGGCACCAUGGCUUGAUUUUCUUCCUUGAAGAUGUGAAAUUGCAAGGGGAGAAAAAUGACAGCAAAAGUGUGCUUUGUGUGUGAUACAAGCAUGAUCAACAAAACGUGCUGAGACACUUCUGGUUUUGUUGGUUCUAAUAAUACUGAUAAAAUUUCUGCUGGUGGCUGUUCAUGCUGAACAAAACCCAGGAUGUGGCCAGAAAAAGAGAUGACAUUGAUGAUUACAGUAGAAAUAGACUUCACACUUUUUGUAUGAACUCCAAUCUGGUUUAGCUACAAAACCUUUUUUCAAGUGUUGUCUGCUGCUUCAAGGGUGAUGGGGAUCAAAUACUCUGCUCUGCUAGCACUGCCCUGCUUCACAAGGGAAGUUCAGCACCUGAAAGGAAGGCAGCUUGGAAAUGCAGCAGUACCUAGAAAUGAGGUCAUGGAGAUCUUUUCUUUGGGGAUCCAGAAAGCUUUUAGACACAGAACUGCUUCUGGACCAUCACCUGUAAGAACUCUUGGGAGGGAAACUAAAUUGGUGAGCAGUUGUGUAGGUGAGAGAGCAGGAUGAAGUGAUGGGGAGAGGUGGUGGCUGCUACAGUCUAGUUACAGAGAUAAGGGACUUGGAAGUUGGACUCCAGGUCCUAGAAAAGGUGGUCAGAAAGUGGAGACGGUAGGUCUGAAUAGUUCCAGGGAUCCAAGUUUCUUAACUUCGCUGCUUUAUUCCCAGGGAGAAAUGCAACUGAAAACCAAAGAAAUCCCAGAGAAGCCAGUUGCAGAGCUAGGCUUGACCACCAGCCAGCCAGGGAGGGGAAUCAAGGCAGGUUCACAGAGGCAGAAGAUUGUCACUACUGCCUUUCUUUUGAGACUCUUUUGAGAGUCUCCCAGCCUAAUUAUUUUCCCACUGUGGUAAUGUCCCAUGGGAGUUCUCAGCUCUGGGAGGACUGAUGCCACCCUUCAGAGUGAAGAUGCCAAUCAAUGCUGAGAGAUGAUAAUUAUAGUUAUGAUUAGCUUUGAAUUUCUCAUUGAAUGCCUGGAGACAUAUUGCUAAUGAAAAGCUAAAUCAGUGGUUUUUCCCCCUAAGGUAGUAGAUAUUUUUCUUCCUGAAAUUUGUAAGCAUUUAAGUGUGUAGAAAAUAGUGCUUACAAAUUAAUCCCUAACACCCUUUUUUGCCUCCAUAGAUUCUGGCAUGUCCAUCCUUACACCCAUUCAUAGUCUCCAAAAAAUACUCAGAAAUGUAUUCAAUUAAAGAACACAGUUUAAAAAAAAAAAAAA